rnacentral:misc_RNA from 1 species
AAACGAAAGAAGGCGUCGCUAUGGCAACGGGAGGGCUACUUGUAAACAAUACCUUGCGGUAUUCUGCGGUUCAAGUUCAACCCAUCGUGGAAAAUGUCAACCGAAGACGACGAGACGUCUUGGGUGUUCGAAUCUCUCGUCGGUUAUCUGAGGGGUCCGGCGUGGAAUAUUCCCAUCAUUACAUUCAUCGAGCAAAAGUCCAUUGUGUUUGAACCUGGGCCAGACAACGAAGAAUACAAGAAAAUUCACAAUGAAUACAAAAAUUUGGUGGACUUCAUGUUAGGCAGCCACAUGGAAGACAUGGGCAUCACGCCUGAACAAUUUGAGAAAGUCUGUGGCAAGGCCAACAGAGGAAUCGCUGCGAAAUUCCAUCAGGGUCUCUUCGAGCAGGUGUGGGCAGCAGACGAUUAUGAGAUCUUCAAGCGCAUGAUGACCCAGAAGAACAUCGACCUGCAACUCCAGGCCCUCGAAAUUAUGGCCCAACGCUAUGGCCUUGUGCCCGACGCCUUCCAGGGGGAGCCACAAGGGGCUGCCGAUGAGGACAUCCAGGAAGAAAAGUCAGACAAUGACAAUGCCAAGGAGGACGAGGAAGCUCUCAUGGCGCACGUCAUCAAAAAAUCGUUGGAAGACAUGGCUGCAGCAAAGGAGAGCGAGAGUAUGGAAGAAAAGCUUAUUGAAGAGGCGAUCCAAGCCACCCUGGUGGAGAAGCAGAGGCUGGAAGUUGAGAAAUCCAAAGAGAAGGAACUGCUAGACAAGGCACUAAAAUUAUCUCUCAAAGAACCCGCUGCAGCCGACACGCCAGAGGAUCCGGAACCCAAAGUGUUGGCGGGCCAAUUGACGGAACAUCGCCCCUCAAUCGUUGAGGAGGACUUGGCAACGCGACACCAGCCGGUGAGCAGCGAGGAGGUGAAUCAGCGGAGGGAGUACCUGCGCAGCCAGCGGGACAAGCUGGUGGCAUUGAAGCGUGCCGAACGCGAGAAGCAGCUGAGCUCCACGCUGGAACAGGACACCGUCCAGCGGCCGCGUUCGUCUCGCGCGGCCAGGGCGGCUCUCCAGGGCGACGUUGCCCUGGAGGCACCCAACGACGACUCCGGAAACCUGGCCUUCCGCAAGUCGCUUGCCGCUCGGCUGAAGGCGGAGGUCAUAGAUUCAUAAGCACCAGCUGCAGCCUAUUGCUUCCAGCAACAAAUCCAAGUUAACGAGAAAACUUUGAAUUCCUGUUGUGAAUGUUGUCAAAAGAAGUGCACCUGUACUGGAAUGCCACUCCAAGCCACGACAGAGCUCUCAAGGACUGCUCCUGCAUAAGCUACUAGACGCCGCUUUCCCGAACAAAUAAACAUCUUGCCAUCCAUCCUCGUGACUAAGAACGACACCAUCUUGUGGUGAAUCCAGAUGAAUUCCAGACUUCACACAUGACUGAACUGAGGGAUGCAUCAAAAGGGCAAGACUAUCUCACACUUGCAAAAUUUUUCUGAAUUUACGAUAAAUGACUUCAAGCACUGGAGCUUUCUAAACAAUUUAAAACAAAAGUAUGUUGAA